rnacentral:ribozyme from 15 species
AGAAGCUAGAAGAAGAAAAAAAAAAGGAAAGAAGGGUCAUCAAUCAUUUUGGCAAAGUACUAGUAUUCAUAUCGUUCUUGAAUUCUUUCAUG